UACGUAGGGCGCAAGCGUUGUCCGGAAUUAUUGGGCGUAAAGAGCUCGUAGGCGGCUUGUCGCGUCGGAUGUGAAAGCCCGGGGCUUAACCCCGGGUCUGCAUUCGAUACGGGCAGGCUAGAGUUCGGUAGGGGAGAUCGGAAUUCCUGGUGUAGCGGUGAAAUGCGCAGAUAUCAGGAAGAACACCAAUGGCGAAGGCAGCUCUCUGGGACGGUACUGACGCUGAGACGCGAAAGCGUGGGGAGCGAACAGG
rnacentral:rRNA from 1 species